rnacentral:rRNA from 1 species
UACGUAGGGGGCAAGCGUUGUCCGGAUUCAUUGGGCGUAAAGGGCGCGUAGGCGGCCUACUAAGUCAGACGUGAAAUCCCCCGGCUUAACCUGGGAACUGCGUCUGAUACUGGAAGGCUUGAGGAUGGGAGAGGGAUGUAGAAUUCCAGGUGUAGCGGUGAAAUGCGUAGAUAUCUGGAGGAAUACCGGUGGCGAAGGCGGCAUCCUGGACCAUUACUGACGCUGAGGCGCGAAAGCUAGGGGAGCAAACGGGG